rnacentral:rRNA from 1 species
UACAUGCAAGUCGAACGAAGGCCCUAGCUUGCUAGGUGUCCUUAGUGGCGCACGGGUGAGUAACACGUGGGAACAUACCUCAUAGUACGGAAUAACUGCGGGAAACUGUAGCUAAUACCGUAUAUUCCAGAAAUGGGAAAGAUUUAUCGGUUAAAGAUGGGCAUGCGUCUGAUUAGUUUGUUGGUAAGGUAACGGCUUACCAAGACUACGAUCAGUAGGGGGUCUGAGAGGAUGAUCCCCCACACUGGUACUGAGACACGGACCAGACAUCUACGGAUGGCAGCAGUAAGGAAUAUUGGGCAAUGGGCGCAAGCCUGACCCAGCCAUGCCGCGUGCAGGAUGACGACCCUAUGGGUUGUAAACUGCUUUUAUAUAGGAAGAAAAUACUCUGCGAGAGGAU